UAUCUCUGUAGAGUCUGCAUAUCAAUAAGCGGAGGAAAAGAAACUAACUAGGAUUCCCCUUAGUAACGGCGAGUGAAGCGGGAAGAGCUCAAAUUUGAAAUCUUCAAGGUUUUACCUUGACGAAUUGUAGUUUAAAGAAGUGUUUUCUGUUGGAAUUUUCGGUAAAAGUUCUUUGGAAAUAGGACAUCAUAAGAGGGUGAGAAUCCCGUAUUUGACCAUUAUUUCAGCUUUGUGAUACACUUUCAAAGAGUCGGAUUGUUUGGGAAUGCAGUCCAAAAUGGGUGGUAAAUUUCAUCUAGAGCUAAAUAUUGGCGAGAGACCGAUAGCGAACAAGUACCGUGAGGGAAAGAUGAAAAGAACUUUGAAAAGAGAGUUAAACAGUACGUGAAAUUGUCAAAAGGGAAGCGUUUGACACCAGUGUUGUUUUCUCGAAAAUCAAUUAAAAAUGCUUGGAUUUUGUGUUGUAUUGACCUUUAUAAGCUUUCUGCACUUUUUUCAUGUCUUUUUUAAUGCACUUUUCGUUUAACAAGUCAACAUCAAUUUCUUUUGUUGUAAAAAGGGUCAUUGGAAGGUGGCUUUCUUUUCGGAGAAAGUGUUUAUAGCCUUUGACUCCUGCAAUCGGAGAGACUGAGGUCUGCAGCGUAGAUCCUUCGGGGUUAGAUACAUUUGUGCUAAGUUAUAGCCUUUCAUAGACAACUUGUUGACUAUGAUCAGUCAUGUAGCUUACUCGCUUAUGCUAUUUUACCUACGCUUAGGAUGUUGAACGCGCACAGAGUCUC
rnacentral:rRNA from 1 species